rnacentral:lncRNA from 1 species
CAUCUUGGCUCCUCCGCUCUAUUUGCAGUUCUUAAAGGGCCCCAGGAUCCUCUAUUAAAUGUGUGGUCCAUGAACCAGCAGCUUCAGCAUGACCUGAGAGCUCAUAACCUCGUCUCUACAAAAAAUACAAAAAAAGUUAGCCAGGCAUGGUGGUACACGCCUAUGGUCUCAGCAACUUGGGAGGCUGAGAUUCAUAGCAAGUGAAACAUUCCAGAUGUUAAAAGCGUGGACAGUGAGGUCCAUGGACCGGCAGGAUCAGCAGCCCCAGAAGCUCCUUGGACCUGCAAGACCCUCCGGCCCCACCACAGCCCUACUGAACCAGGAUCAGACUUUAAAAAAGAAUCCAAUGCCAGUUUGAGAAGCCCAACUCAAAAAUCUAGACCAACAACCUGGUCUACCUUCCUGGGUCUCACUCCAUCACCUACGCUGGAAUGCAGUGGUGCAGUCACAGCUCACUGCAGCCUCAAUCUCCAGGGCUCAAGUGAUCCUCCAACCUGAGCCUCCUGAGUAUCUGGGACUACAGGUGCGUGCCACCAUAGUUGGCCAAAUUUUUUUAUUUUUUUGUAGAGACAGUGUCUUGCUAUGUUGCCCAGGCUGGUCUUGAACUCCUGGGCUCAAGUGAUCCACCCAUCUCUCUCUCCCAAAGUGCUGGGAUUACAGGUGUGAACCACUGCACCCAGCCUAGCCUUGGCUUUUCACAGGGAGUGGCAACUCCUCCUCCCAGAGCAGAGCUACUCCAAAGAUUUCUGCUGCUUCCAAUGUAGAUUUUCAAUGAUUUCAGAUCUACAUAAGAACGUAGUUACUGUUUAGGAGAAGCCAGCUUUCAUGGAGGAAACUGUAUUUGUGAUCCUGAUGAUUUUCCUUGAACAG